GACCUACGGGGGGCAGCAGUGAGGAAUAUUGGUCAAUGGCCGAGAGGCUGAACCAGCCAAGUCGCGUGAGGGAUGACGGCCCUACGGGUUGUAAACCUCUUUUGUCGGGGAGCAAGACCCGCCUCGUGCAGGCGGAGCGAGAGUACCCGAAGAAAAAGCAUCGGCUAACUCCGUGCCAGCAGCCGCGGUAAUACGGAGGAUGCGAGCGUUAUCCGGAUUUAUUGGGUUUAAAGGGUGCGCAGGCGGGCCGCUAAGCGGGACCU
rnacentral:rRNA from 1 species